CGUCUAUAUACGUAUAGCAUAUCAAUAAGCGGAGGAAAAGAAACUAACAAGGAUUCCCUUAGUAACGGCGAGUGAAGCGGGAAGAGCUCAAAUUUGAAAUCUUCAAGGUUCUACCUUGACGAAUUGUAGUUUAAAGAAGUGUUUUCUGUUAGAGGAGUAGCAAAAGUUCUUUGGAAUAGGGACAUCAUAGAGGGUGAGAAUCCCGUAUUUGGUCAUUCUUUCUAGCUGUGUGAUACACUUUCAAAGAGUCGGAUUGUUUGGGAAUGCAGUCCAAAAUGGGUGGUAAAUUUCAUCUAAAGCUAAAUAUUGGCGAGAGACCGAUAGCGAACAAGUACCGUGAGGGAAAGAUGAAAAGAACUUUGAAAAGAGAGUUAAACAGUACGUGAAAUUGUCAAAAGGGAAGCGUUUGACACCAGUGUUGUUUUUCCGAAAAUCAAUUAAGAGUGGCUUGAUUUUGUGUUGUAUUGACCUUAUCAGCUUUCUUCACUCUUUUUCGAGUCUUUCUUAAUGCACUUUUCGGUUAACAAGUCAACAUCAAUUUCUUUUGCUGUAAAAGGGUAUUUGGAAGGUGGCUUUCUUUUCGGAGAAAGUGUUUAUAGCCUUAUACCUCUACAAUCGGAGAGAUUGAGGUCUGCAGGCGUAGAUCCUUCGGGGCUAGAUACACUUGUGCUAAGUUAUAGCUUUUCAUAGACAACUUGUUGACUAUGUUUAGUCAUGUAGCUUACCCGCUUGUGCUAUUUUACCUACGCUUAGGAUGUUGAGUCAUCACACAUCUCU
rnacentral:rRNA from 1 species